CCUACGGGAGGCAGCAGUGGGGAAUAUUGCACAAUGGGGGAAACCCUGAUGCAGCGACGCCGCGUGAGUGAAGAAGUAAUUCGUUAUGUAAAGCUCUAUCAGCAGGGAAGAAAAUGACGGUACUUGAGUAAGAAGCCCCGGCUAACUACGUGCCAGCAGCCGCGGUAAUACGUAGGGGGCAAGCGUUAUCCGGAUUUACUGGGUGUAAAGGGAGCGUAGACGGCAGUGUAAGUCUGGAGUGAAAGGCGGGGGCUCAACCCCCGGACUGCACUGGAAACUGUACGGCUGGAGUGCAGGAGAGGAGAGUGGAAUUCCUAGUGUAGCGGUGAAAUGCGUAGAUAUUAGGAGGAACACCAGUGGCGAAGGCGGCUUACUGGACUGUAACUGACGUUGAGGCUCGAAAGCGUGGGGAGCAAACAGGAUUAGAUACCCGGGUAGUC
rnacentral:rRNA from 1 species